AUGAGCCGGCUUUGGUGCUCGGAUACCACAGCCGGGAGGUCAACCCACAUGCCGAAGUUAGGAAAGAGAGCCGUUGGAUUGAAAAGCCUUCGUUUCGGACUCGGUCAAAGUGGCUAGUUCAAGCCCAGGUUGUGUCUGCAGUGACAGCGCCUAACGGUUCCCAGAGCUGAGGAAAAAUUGGCCAUGUCCUUCUGGAAUGUUUAGAAGGUGCAGAAAAAGGCUGCUUGCUGAGACCUGAGAGCCAGACGUAAUGAAGAAAAUUGGUCCCACAGACCGUCCUUGACUUAAGGCCACAACUGACCCUAAACGUUCUGCUGCUAAACCGGACAUUGGUUAAGCUUGGUGACCCAGGUAAGCAUCGGAGGCGGGUUUUGCUGGACCAUUUGACCUUUCACCUCUUCUUGCUAAAUAGACUUAAUUGCUGCAUUGGCUUGUCAUUUGAGCUACAAAUAAUUCUGCCGAGGUCACCUAAAGAAAGCUUGGCUUCUCAGCCACCGUCAGGGAGCCUCUAAUUUAAUCCUGCAAGGAAAGAAAAACACCGAAAGGCAUCAUCGCUGGACAAUGGAUGCCAGUGGUUUCUGCAAGAAGAGAUGGAAGCCCAAAAAUAGCCAAAAGAAAAACAGCCGCCACUGUUGUGUUUGCCAGGGUUUCUAGGGGCAGAGAGUUCCAAAGAUCAACCCUGCUGUAAAAUAAUACCUGCAAAGAGACCUCUCAUCUUCUGAGAAAAUGGAUGUUUAGUUGCAUAUCGCUUGUGGAUACCUGUGAACUCGAAUGGCUCAGAAAGAAAGAUGGAUCAAUUCACAGAAGGCAAAUUUGCCAAGAGCAACUGAUUUAGGAAACACAGUGUGGUAUCCAGGCUGGGAAUGCCUACUCCAAGUACCUUUUGGGUAGGGGUAGGUGAGGGGUAGUAGGUCUGUCUAUUAUUUGCAAACAUUGAGAGGCACCCGAUUGGCUAGAGCAGUAUUUUCCAUCCUUGCCAGCUGUAAGAUGGGUGGACUUCAACUCCCAGAAUUCUCCAGCCAACCAUGCAUGGUAACUUACUUAAUAGAUGGUGGGUAUGCAGUAAGCAUAAUAUAUCUUGACUUUAGCAAAGUGGGUGGGGGGAAAAGAGAGCUGGCUGGGGAAUUUUGGGAAUUGAAGUCCACAAAGUGGUCAAGUUUGGAGACCCCUGAACUAAAGGAAUAGGAUGAGCGUUGAGCUGAUCAAGCAGAACUGUUCUUAUGGUCCAAAAGUUGCCAGAGGUAUUAAAGGCAUGUUAAAGUCAAAGCCCAACCCACUUCAUUUUUUCAAAAAGGUAGGGCAGACAGAACAUCAGUUAACCCCAUUGACUGCUUGUUAGAAAGUGGCUGGGAAAAUUGCAAAUGAUGAUCACGUGAUCCCAGGAUCCUGCAACCAUCGUCAAUGCAUGCCAAUUGCCGAGCACCCAAAUUUUGAUCACAUGGGGGUUGCUGGGAUGGUCAUAAGUGCAAGGACUGGUUGUAACGCCCCCUUUUUCAAGGCUGUUGCAACUGUGGUGUAACUAAACCAAUGGUUAUAAGUUGAGAACAACCUGUAAGCCUGUUUUGGGGCUGCAGCUUCAAUGCUGCUGUGCAGAAUUACUCUUGCUUUGAAAUAAUGUGGGGGCUUGUAGAUGUCCUAUCUCUUUCUUAGAUUUUUGCACUUUGCUCUCCCAUGUCCCAAAACUGAGACUCUACUUCUACUGUCCCAAAAGCAAGCGAAGCCACCUACGCACGUCGAUCUUCUCUGCAUCCCAGGGAGAUGAAUCAACCUGUAGAACAUCACCUCCAUCUUGCCCCCAAGGCUCAGUUGAAAAGGUUUUGGAAAAGCUGGUGGGUGGGUGGGUGUGGAAAAGGGGGCCACCCUUUCAAAUUGCAGGCACAGACAUUUUGA